UCUAACUAGGAUAGCCAUCAAGUGUAAAACAGAGUAGUACAGACCCUUCGGCUGCUAACGAGUUCAGAUCGCAGAAAUCACAGAUAGCUGACUGUCAUCGUUGAGAAAGCUUGGCAAGGUCACAGCGUUGCUGCUCUUGGCAAGGAGUCUUGUAAUUAAGAAAAUCUGACAUCUACGUGGUGAAACCAGAAGUCCCAGGAGACGGGACUGUAGGCCCAGCAGGGAGACUGUUUCCUUUUUCUUCGUGGUAGUGUCUCAUCUCACUUAGGAUUUCCUGGGUUCCUGUAUGCCUUCUAAGUCUGCAAUAUUCUCCUACAUCCACACUCAAAUAAAAUAAAGA